AACAAACGCUGGCGGCGUGCCUAACACAUGCAAGUCGUACGAGAAAGUCGGCUUCGGCCGAUGAGUACAGUGGCGCACGGGUGAGUAGCGCGUGGGUAAUCUGCCCCCCGGUCAGGAAUAACCCGCCGAAAGGCGGGCUAAUACCCGAUAACACUGACGCUCCGCGGAGCGUCUUUCAAAGAAGGCCUCUGUUUACAAGCUUUCGCCGGAGGAUGAGCCCGCGUACCAUUAGCUAGUUGGCAGGGUAAUGGCCUACCAAGGCUACGAUGGUUAGCUGGUCUGAGAGGAUGGCCAGCCACACUGGAACUGAGACACGGUCCAGACUCCUACGGGAGGCAGCAGUGAGGAAUCUUGCGCAAUGGGGGAAACCCUGACGCAGCAACGCCGCGUGAGUGAGGAAGGCCUUCGGGUCGUAAAGCUCUGUCAGAUGGGAAGAAAUGGAUGGGGGCGUAAUAUCGCCCAUCCUUGACGGUACCAUCAGAGGAAGCACCGGCUAACUCCG
rnacentral:rRNA from 1 species